UGGCUGUCAUGAUGGAGACGCGUGUUUAAACAGCAUUGACUGCAAAGAACACAUAGAAUUACCCUCGUGCUGCCAGCCCUCUUAAUUAUAAUAUUGGCAACCUCACCAGAAGCCAGCAGCUCACAUUUUUGAGCUUCCGCCCAGUCAGCAGUGUGCAGGAGAGCUCAGGAUCCUAGCAUCUUGGCACUGGAAAGACGGCCUGUGACAUCUGUUCUUCCCACCAGAUCUCACGCCAAAGGGUUUCUCUUACAACAUCCCUGUGCAGGGAGACUACACUUCGAAGUACCUGAUUGAAAAGAAAGCUUAAAGGCCACCAAGCAGGAUUGCGUUCUCUUCAACACUGUCACGUGCAGUCAAGGGGAAGUGAGUGUUGAGCAGAUUAUGAGUGAUUAUGAAUGAUCUAUUCACAGCAAAUUUUUCAUUACAAGCUCGCCAAGCAACACAGGCUCAAAGAUAAAACAAAUAUGACCACAAAAGCUGCCUGCAGCAUCGCCAGCAGAGAUCAGGAAAUACAGAGCAGCACUCUAGUAUAAUAAGUGCAAUUGCAGAGACACGCACAGGCACCAAGGGAUUUCCAGGGGUGGAGCAGACAGGAGUCGUGAGCAGUGUGAUAUCAUUGAAAUGUGGACAAAAUGUUGGAAAGUAGACACAUCAGACUGCAAAGAUCAAAGACCACCAAAUCCAGGGAUCCUUCCCUGAAUUUGUGACCAAGAGCAACACUUUGAGGGAGGGAGAUUGAGAGGACGUGCACCUGUUUGGUCAUGGAAAAACCAAAGGAAAGCGAAGCAGGUUCAUUAGACAGACAUCAAGAUUCACCCUCCACGCUCUGCUUCUGCUCCUGUGGACGCAACUCUGCAGAUGACUUCACCCAGAUCUCUGCCAGCUGGAGUUUUGGACUCCUGGCAGGAGGAGGCAGGAGCUCAGAAUGCAGAAGAGAAAUGGAAAGCUUCUCCUUCCUGUCUACUCGCCGUUUCUGUCAGCAAUGCCACAGCCAAAGUGCCCCACCAGAGACACUGUGUCCAGAGGCAGCCAUUUCUCCCUCUGGCUUCUUGGGGCGCCCAGACCACUGGACCUUGACCUUCCAAGGAGUCAGUAGCAACUGUUUUCAAGCGAGAAGGCUAAGAAGGGAGAAAGGCUGUUUUUCCAGACAAAGAAACAUGAAAGAUUUCACAGCUGAACAUCAGCUUUGUCUGAACCUGUCUCAAUGAUUCCUCCAUCUUGGGGUCCGGUGUCUGGCCAAUCAAUGCUCUAAUUUUCACAUUAAAGUCGUGAAGUGUCUGUGAA